rnacentral:snRNA from 1 species
AGCUUUGCGCAGUGGCAGUAUCGUAGCCAAUGAGGUUUAUCCGAGGCGCGAUUAUUGCUAAUUGAAAUGUAUUCAUUACUGAAAAUACAGAAUAAUCGAAAGGGAAACAACAGCUCUAGUCCCUUUUCUAAAAGACAAUUAGAUUUAAUGAAUUUUAGUAUUUUUUUCUCCUAA